rnacentral:rRNA from 1 species
UUCCCAGACUCCUACGGGAGGCAGCAGUGAGGAAUAUUGGUCAAUGGCCGGAAGGCUGAACCAGCCAAGUCGCGUGAGGGAAUAAGGCCCUAUGGGUCGUAAACCUCUUUUGUCAGGGAGCAAAGGCGUCCACGAGUGGACGAAAGGAGAGUACCUGAAGAAAAAGCAUCGGCUAACUCCGUGCCAGCAGCCGCGGUAAUACGGAGGAUGCGAGCGUUAUCCGGAUUUAUUGGGUUUAAAGGGUGCGUAGGCGGAGUGUCAAGUCAGCGGUAAAAUUUCGGGGCUCAACCCCGUCGUGCCGUUGAAACUGACACCCUUGAGUGAGUGAGAAGUAAGCGGAAUGCGUGGUGUAGCGGUGAAAUGCAUAGAUAUCACGCAGAACUCCGAUUGCGAAGGCAGCAUACCGGCGCCCGACUGACGCUGAAGCACGAAAGCGUGGGUAUCGAACAGGAUUAGAUACCCCCGUAC